rnacentral:rRNA from 1 species
GGGCCCGGACCUCGCGUAUGAUCUAGAUUCGCGGCCUAUCAGCUUGUUGGUGAGGUAAUGGCUCACCAAGGCGACGACGGGUAGCCGGCCUGAGAGGGUGACCGGCCACACUGGGACUGAGACACGGCCCAGACUCCUACGGGAGGCAGCAGUGGGGAAUAUUGCACAAUGGGCGAAAGCCUGAUGCAGCGACGCCGCGUGAGGGAUGACGGCCUUCGGGUUGUAAACCUCUUUCAGUAGGGAAGAAGCGAAAGUGACGGUACCUGCAGAAGAAGCGCCGGCUAACUACGUGCCAGCAGCCGCGGUAAUACGUAGGGCGCAAGCGUUAUCCGGAAUUAUUGGGCGUAAAGAGCUCGUAGGCGGUUUGUCGCGUCUGCCGUGAAAGUCCGGGGCUCAACUCCGGAUCUGCGGUGGGUACGGGCAGACUAGAGUGAUGUAGGGGAGACUGGAAUUCCUGGUGUAGCGGUGAAAUGCGCCGAUAUCAGGAGGAACACCGAUGGCGAAGGCAGGUCUCUGGGCAUUAACUGACGCUGAGGAGCGAACGCAUGGGGAGCGAACAGGAUUAGAUACCCUGCUAGUCCAUGCCGUAAACGUUGGGCACAAGGUGUGGGGGACAUUCGACGUAUUAUGUGGCGAAGCUAACGCAUUAAGUGAUCCGAAUGGGGAGUAAAUAAUCUGAUUUCGUGUACUU